AGUUGCCCUGAUACCGUUUUUCCACCGUAGCAGCUUCCUGGUGAAACCUUUCACCAUGUUCGUCACUGACAGCACCGAGAUUUUCUUGGAAGAAAUCUAAAUUUCUCCCACAGCAGUCUGUGAAUGAAGAGGAAGAUCUUGGCUACCAGCAGAGGAGCUUCAGAGUGGAAGAGAAAGAUCCAGAACCUCCACAGACUAAAGAGGAACUGAAAGAGCCAGAACUUCUACAGAUCAAAAAGGAGCAGGAAGAGCGAGAGCCUCUACAGACUGAAGAGGAACUGCAGGAACCAGAACUUCUACAGAUUAAAGAGGAACAGGAGGAGCUCUGCAUCAAACAGGAUGAAGAUCAGCUUGAUCUGAAGCAGGAGACUGAAACCUCGAUGGAGAUUCCUAGUUAUGAGGAAAAUGAGCACAGUGAAGCAGAUCUGAACAUUCAGCAGAGCUUUAAUGGAACUGAUAGUCAGGAGGAAGAAGGAAACCAACAGGAAGAAUCAACUACAGAUGUAGAGACAGAUGUGGACAUCUCUCACAUGUCAGAAAGUGAGUGGGACUCUGAUGUUGCUAAAAAUUCAAAGAAGUCAUCUUUGGCCAAGAAACGCAAACCAUCUCCAAAAGAAAAACAACUUUCCACUAUAAAGUCAGAUGGAAGCUCAGUAAUUGAGACUUCUCACGUAGACAAAGAGAUUACUGACUCUGAUAACAAACAUGCCUUUAAAGAGUCCAGAAGACGUUUUUUUAAUGUUCCCAAAAGAAUCCAUACAGGAGAGAAGCGUUUUUCUUGUAAAGAAUGUGAUAGAAGUUUUCGUAACAAUUUUCAUCUGGAAGCUCACAUAAGAACUCACACAGGAGAGAAGCCGUUUUCUUGUAAAGAAUGUGAUAGAAGUUUUCGGAGAAAGUCACAUCUGGAAACGCACAUAAGAACUCACACAGGAGAGAAGCCUUUUUCUUGUACGGAAUGUGAAAAAAAUUUUAGUCGAAAAUCCGAUUUAAACAUACACAUGAGAACUCACACAGGAGAGAAGCCUUUUUCCUGUAAAGAUUGUGAUAAAAGCUUUAGAUGUUUAUCUAAUUUGAGUAGACAUAUGCGGAUUCACACAGGAGAGAAGCCUUUUUCUUGUAAAGAAUGUGGCACAAGUUUUAGAUGGGUUUCUAAUCUCAAAUCACACAUGAUGACUCACAGGAAUAAGUAUUUUUCUUGUCAGUGUAAUAAAGAUUCAGCAUAAACUCAAGAGAGCUCACAGCAUAGAACUCGUGCAGUAAAUGACAUUUAAUGUUUACAUAAGAAGGGAUGAUUUUUUUUGUAAAUACAGAAACUAGAGUUUUGUAUUUAGUAAUUACAUUUAGAUUCAAAUAUUUAGUUGACAAGUUUUAUAGUUAAAAAAAAAGCAUACAUGUCAUGUGGUUUUAUUUGAAAGCUUUAUUUAGAAACUAGAAUCUCUAUUAGAUACCAAUCUGAAUACAGACCAAAUGAAAGGUUUAGGACUCGAUCCAGACCAAAUUAAGCAGACUCAAGUCUGGACCAAUGGAUUUUUCCAGUCUGAAUUCAUCAACCGUAGACUUUUGCGUUUCUCUUGAAAGUUCUCUUUUUCUGGGUAUUUUGAGCUUUUAAUCAAUCCCACAAAUGUCAUGCUCAAGAAACUGAACUACUCAAAGGAAGGUCAGUUUUCUUCUCUAACCAGCCUAACUGUUUUCACCUGUGCUAACGUGAUUACACAAGGGUUUUCUAAUCAUCUGUUCGCCUUCCGACAAAAUGAGCAGAUUGUACGAUUAGAACACUGGAGUGAUAGUUGCUGUAAAUGUACCUCGACUCACUUAUGUAGUCAAUGCAACAAAAAACAGACAUUUGCUGCUGGAAGGGUCAUUAUUUAACCAUUUACCAUAGAGUUAAUAUUUGAUUAGUUAAAGUGAUAUUUCUUGAAAAAGCUAGUGCUUUUCAAAUUUUCUAAAGUCUGUUUUGUGUAGAACAUAUAAUAUAUAUAUAUAUAUAUAUAUAUAUAUAUAUAUAUACAUAUAUAUAUAUACAAAUAUUUGAUUCCUCUGAUAUGAUUUUGUCCUUUUUUUCUUCUUUAAGCCAUAUUUCUCAAAAUAAAAAAAUCAAUUUAUUUUAAUCUAUGUAUACAGAUACUAUAACAUUUGAAUUUUACUGCUUGCAUUAACAAAUAAUGUUAAAACUUUUUCACAAAAUCCAUUCUUUUAGAUAUAGCUGUAAAUAGAAAUGUUGUUUUGAACUAUUAGAGUUCAGUCCUGAACACCUCUAUUGUGGUUGUAGUUUCUGCUGAGACAAUAUGCAUGUUGUCUACAUGUGUGUAUUCAUGACAACACUAGAAAUAUUUUGUAAACCUUUUUAACACUUUUGAUGUCAUUAACGGACAUUUUCUUGGGUGAAAAAACUGGUGCAGAAAAGAUUUAGUCGAAAUGUAUUAAGGAAGAGGUGUGGAUAAAGGAACAGACUGGUGUUUCUGUCUUGUGAUUCCUGUUGUCUGGUAGAGAUUAGAACCGUUUCUCUGUUCUGUUUAGUUCUGAGUGUUCUGUCUCCAUCUUUCCUGUAAAGAAUAAAGUGGACGUGAGCAUCAGA